AAUACGUAGGGGGCAAGCGUUGUCCGGAUUUAUUGGGCGUAAAGAGCGUGUAGGCGGCCAUGCAGGUCCGUUGUGAAAACUGGAGGCUUAACCUCCAGACGCCGGUGGAAACCGUGUGGCUAGAGUCCGGAAGAGGAGAGUGGAAUUCCUGGUGUAGCGGUGAAAUGCGCAGAUAUCAGGAAGAACACCCGUGGCGAAGGCGGCUCUCUGGGACGUGACUGACGCUGAGACGCGAAAGCGUGGGGAGCAAACAGGA
rnacentral:rRNA from 1 species